CGUAAAUGAACAAACAACAGCAUGAAUUUAUAAAGCACAAAUAUACAUCCAGAGUUAAGGUGGGAUUUUAUCCCACUACCCAAAACGCUACGGAGUGCUUAACGGAACGACGAGACCUCUGGGACAAGGAAGGCCCUACACUUUUUUUACUAACUGUUACCUAUUGUUGCCGGUUUGUGUACUCAUUACAAAGAGGACUUAUGACCUCUUCUAAAGUUUGAGAGCAGAUAUCAAAAAUUAGUGAAAGGCGUCCCGAAGUUACAUACGGGAUUCGAGCUCGCUACCUCCACGCUGUUAACAGUUCGGUGGAUUUGCGAGAAUGCUAGGCCAAUGAGGUGCCUGUUUCUAUGUUUUAGGAAAUGAAAGGUGCCUUGAAAGGAACUGUUAACCGGAAGCGUUUUCAAUGUAUUUCAUCACUCAUGCUAUCAACUAUACUUUUACUUUAGCCGGCAAUUGUGCCUAAUAGAUAAGGCAUUUGUUUCUCGCUUUAAUGUCAUUCAAACUUUUAAUUAAAUCCUGUUGCUUGUAGUGUUUUCUUCAAAUAUUAUAGCUAGCUGCUUUUUAAAAGUUUCAAGAAUUUGUUCCAAGUGAAUUAUAGAAUAAGAAAAUGCUCUUCUAUUCCAUUGUCAUCGGUUCUUUAUUUCAAGUGAUGAGCAUACAAGGCUUCAGUGGCAAUGAAAUGUUUGGUAAGC